GGUUCUCCCCGAAAGCUAUUUAGGUAGCGCCUCGUGAAUUCAUCUCCGGGGGUAGAGCACUGUUUCGGCUAGGGGGCCAUCCCGGCUUACCAACCCGAUGCAAACUGCGAAUACCGGAGAAUGUUAUCACGGGAGACACACGGCGGGUGCUAACGUCCGUCGUGAAGAGGGAAACAACCCAGACCGCCAGCUAAGGUCCCAAAGUCAUGGUUAAGUGGGAAACGAUGUGGGAAGGCCCAGACAGCCAGGAUGUUGGCUUAGAAGCAGCCAUCAUUUAAAGAAAGCGUAAUAGCUCACUGGUCGAGUCGGCCUGCGCGGAAGAUGUAACGGGGCUAAACCAU
rnacentral:rRNA from 6 species